rnacentral:rRNA from 1 species
GACAGAGGGUGCAACCGUUGUUCGGAAUUACUGGGCGUAAAGCGUGUGUAGGCGGCUAUGUAAGUCGGAUGUGAAAGCCCUGGGCUCAACCCAGGAAGUGCACUCGAUACUGCGUAGCUUGAGUACCGGAGAGGUUGGUGGAAUUCUCGGUGUAGAGGUGAAAUUCGUAGAUAUCGAGAGGAACACCGGUGGCGAAGGCGGCCAACUGGACGAGUACUGACGCUGAGACACGAAAGCGUGGGGAGCAAACAGG